rnacentral:rRNA from 1 species
CCUGAUUGAUUCUGUCAGCGCUAUAUGCUCAGUUUAAGAUUAAGCCAUGCAUGUCGAGUUCAUCUAUAGAGAAACUGCGAACGGCUCAUUAGAGCAGAUGUCAUUUAUUCGGAACGUCCUAUUGGAUAACUGCGGUAAUUCUGGAGCUAAUGCAAUAAAACCUGACUUUGGAAGGUUACAGUAUGGUACAAAACCAAUCUUCGGAUGUUGUUUAUGACUCACAAAUAACGCAGCAUAUCGGCGGCUUGUCCGCUGAUAUUCCGAAAAAGUGUCUGCCCUAUCAACCUGAUGGUAGUCUAUUAGUCUACCAUGGUUAUUACGGGUAACGGAGAAUAGGGUUCGACUCCGGAGAGGAGCCUUAGAAACGGCUACCACAUCCAAGGAAGGCAGCAGGCGCAGAAACAUCAAUCUUGAAUAGAUGAAUAGUGACUAAAAAUAAAGACCAUUCCUAUGGAACGGUCAUUCCAAUGAGUUGAUCAUAAACCUUUUUUCGAGGAACAAGUGGAGGGCAAGUCUGGUGCCAGCAGCCGCGGUAAUUCCAGCUCCACUAGUGUAAAUCGUCAUUCCGGUUAAAAAGCUCGUAGUUGGAUCUGAGUUACAUGCAGUGGUUCACCUUUGGUGUUAAUCGCUGUUGUGACUAUUUGCUGGUUUUCUAUUAAAGCUUCGGCUUUUUUGGUGGCUAGCAGUUUACUGAAUAAAUUAGAGUGCUCAGAACAAGCGUUUGCUUGAAUGGUCGAUCAUGGAAUAAUAAAGAGGACGGUUCUAUUUAUUGGUUCAGGAACUGAAAUAAUGGUUAAGAGGGACAAUUCGGGGGCAUUCGUAUCCCUGCGCGAGAGGUGAAAUUCGUGGACCGCAGAGGACGCCCAAAGCGAAAGCAUUUGCCAAGAAUGUCUUCAUUAAUCAAGAACGAAGUCAGAGGUUCGAAGGCGAUUAGAUACCGCCCUAGUUCUGACCGUAAACUAUGCCAUCUAGCGAUCCGAUGGGGAAUUGUUGCCUUGUCGAGCUUCCAGGCGCAAAGAAGUCUUUCGGUUCCUGGGGUAGUAUAUGGUUGCAAAGCUGAAACUUAAAAGAAAUGACGGAAUGGCACCACAGAGGUGGACCUGCAGCUUAGUGACUCAACACGGGAAAACUCACCCGGCCCGGACACUAAGGAUUGACAGAUUGAAAGCUCUUUUCUCGAUUUGGUGGUUGGUGGUGGUGCAUGGCCGUUCUUAGAUUGGUGGAGCGAUUUGUCUGGUUUAUUCCGAUAACAGCAGACUCUAACCUGCUAAAUAGUGGCUGAAUUUCAUGUUCAGUCUACUUCUUGAAGGAUAAGCGGUGACUAGCCGCACGAGAUUGAGCGAUAACAGGUCUGUGAUGCCCUUAGAUGUCCGGGGCUGCACGCGCGCUACAAUGGAAGAAUCAGCUGGCCUAUCCAUUGCCGAAAGGCAUUGGUAAACCGUUGAAACUCUUCCGUGACCGGGAUAGGGAAUUGUAAUUAUUUCCCUUGAACGAGGAAUUCCUAGUAAGUGUGAGUCAUCAGCUCACGCUGAUUACGCCAUUUGUACACACCGCCCGUCGCUGUCGGGACUGAGCUGUCUCGAGAGGACUGCGGACUGCUGUAUCGAGGCUUUCGGGUCGCGGUAUGGCGGGAAACAGUUCAAUCGCAAUGGCAGACCGGGUAAAAGUCGUAACAAGGUAUCUGUAGGUGAACCUGCAGAUG